rnacentral:rRNA from 1 species
UAACAAGGAUUCCCCUAGUAACGGCGAGUGAAGCGGGAAGAGCUCAAAUUUGAAAUCUGGCAGUCUUCGAUUGUCCGAGUUGUAAUCUAUAGAGGCGUUUUCCGUGCCGGACCGUGUCCAAGUCUCCUGGAAAGGAGUAUCAAAGAGGGUGAUAAUCCCGUACUUAACACGACCACCGGUGCUCUGUGAUACGUCUUCUACGAGUCGAGUUGUUUGGGAAUGCAGCUCAAAAUGGGUGGUGAAUUCCAUCUAAAGCUAAAUAUUGGCGAGAGACCGAUAGCGAACAAGUACCGUGAGGGAAAGAUGAAAAGCACUUUGGAAAGAGAGUUAAACAGUACGUGAAAUUGUUGAAAGGGAAACGAUUGAAGUCAGUCGUGUUCUUUGGAUUCAGCCAGUUCUGCUGGUCUACUUCCUUGGAACGGGUCAACAUCAGUUUUGUCCGGUGGAUAAAGGUAGUAGGAAUGUGACUUCUCCGGAAGUGUUAUAGCCUAUUAUCACAUACACUGGGUGAGACUGAGGACUGCAGCUCGCCUUUAUGGCCGGCCUUCGGGCACG